GGUUCAGAAGCCGCGUGGCAAUAAAGUCCAUCUUCACAGGUCACUUCAUCCAAAACCCUCUUCAAACAAGCUCUGACAAUCCAACUUCAGUGGGAGGACCACCUCCAGGUUUAAUUCAAUCUAAAAGGACCACUAUAGUGUAACUCUGGAGUACGACACUUAAAACGUUCCAGAUCACAGUUGCAGUAACCACAACAAAGCAGAGGGACAACUUAUCUGGGUUACACAAGAACCAAAAACACACUCCGCUGUACCGACUGGACGGGAUCGAACAGGAUUCGCAUGCCCGCUGUAAACUACCUCAUCCGUCUCAGAGGGAAUGGAGCGUAGGCUGCGGUUUGUCUGCGUCAGUGAAACUCACUGGAGUUGAGGAGGAUCAUGGCCUUCAGACAGACGUACUCCUCCCGCUGAAGCUUCAGCUCGCGGAACCGAGAGGUGGCUGCCAGCAGCAUGUCGAAAAUCUCCAUGAUGCCCUCCACGCACUGUCCCUCCUCCCUGCAGAGAGACGGAGAGAUGGUCAGAGAGGUAUAAGAGAAGAGAAAGACACAAAUACAGACAGAGAGAAUGUGUGCUUUAGCUUGCCACUAACAUCAUUCAUGAAGCCAGUAAAGCUUAUCUGAAUUUAAGGGGAAAAAGAGAAGAGGAAGAAAGACAGAAGAGGGAGAGGAAGAAAGAAAAAGAUGGAAAUAAAGAGAAAAAAGGGACAAACAAAAGAUGUAAGGCAAGAGAGAUCAAUUAGAGAAAUAAAGAAAGAAGGAGAAAGAGAUACUGAUGGAGGCAUAAAGUGAAAGACAAAGAGGGAGGGAAGGAGGGAGGGAGAAGACGAGCAGGUGUGGUCUACGGUAGAGCCAGCUAAUGGUCAUACAGCUAUCUAUGUGGCUACAUGUGGGCCGUAGUUCUUUUCUGACGUGUUACAAAUAUCCAAAGAACCUCCUGACGUAAAAGCAGUAUUUGGCACGGCGCUGCAGGAUCUCCAUCUCAACCAGUGGAGCUAAAGUAUGAUCGCUCCUGGCUAGGUCCCUUAUAUACUGCUCAGAUGGAGAGACAGACGGUUACCAGUUCUGGAUCAGGUAGAAAAGAUGGACACUCCGGACCUUUAGAAAGUAUAGAUAUUACACUUUUGUAUUUUUUAUAUUUCUUUCUUCCCAUUGAACCACCGUGUUCCGAUACGUCAUAUUGUACAUUUGUAAUGGUGGAGGAAGUUAGGGUUCUUGUGCGAGGGGAUUGUGUUACAGUAUAUUAAACUGUGUUUCAAACUGUGUUUUGUAUAACCUUAAAAGCCCCAAACAAAAAAAGGUACAUCUUAUCUGAAUCUUGAAUCUUUGAUGAGAAAAUCAUUGAUUAAUGCGAGGUGUAACUCCAGAGGAGUGCGGACUGAUGUCAGAGACACAUCAAAUGUAGCUCCCAGGAUUAAACUGUAAACACUAAGACACAAGAUGACAUACAAAUGUGUAACAUUUCCAUGACAACUCUGUCAGAUAGUUAUUUAUUUCAUCUUAACUCUCUUUAUUCUUCUAUGUUAAUUAAAGUUACCACACCGAGGCCACGCCCCCAAACUCCCCACAUUUACCUUUUUUUGUACUUUUUUGUAUUUUGAUGUUGUCUUGUUUUUCUUUCUUUCACUCAUUUAUUGUUUUGUUCUGUAUUAUUCUGGGAUAUAGGCAGCAUGUAUCAAAUGGAAACAAAAUGAAACAAAAAAAAAAAAAGCAUAAUAAAAAGUGGAUUACACUCAGCAAA